UCCGUAGGCGGGCUAAUAAGUCAGGGGUGAAAUCCCACAGCUCAACUGUGGAACUGCCUUUGAUACUGUUAGUCUUGAGUUAUAUGGAAGUAGAUAGAAUGUGUAGUGUAGCGGUGAAAUGCUUAGAGAUUACACAGAAUACCGAUUGCGAAGGCAGUCUACUACGUAUAUACUGACGCUAAUGGACGAAAGCGUGGGGAGCGAACAGGAUUAGAUACCCUGGUAGUC
rnacentral:rRNA from 1 species